GAUGAAGAACGCAGCAAAAUGCGAUAAGUAAUGUGAAUUGCAGAAUUCAGUGAAUCAUCGAAUCUUUGAACGCACAUUGCGCCCGCCAGUAUUCUGGCGGGCAUGCCUGUUCGAGCGUCAUUUCAACCAUCAAGCCCCAGGCUUGUGUUGGGGACCUGCGGCUGCCGCAGGCCCUGAAAACCAGUGGCGGGCUCGCUAGUCACACCGAGCGUAGUAGCAUACACAUCGCUCAGGGCGUGCUGCGGGUUCCGGCCGUUAAACCCCUUUUUUACCCAAGGUUGACCUCGGAUCAGGUAGGAAGACCCGCUGAACUUAAGCAUAUCAAUAAGCGGAGGA
rnacentral:misc_RNA from 1 species